CAAAUUAUAGCAUAUAUAAUGCCUUUUAUUUACACUAAAAAGAAAAUAUUUAUAUUUAAUUUGA
rnacentral:tRNA from 1 species